CCAAUAGCGUAUAUUAAAGUUGUUGCAGUUAAAAAGCUCGUAGUUGAAUUUCGGAAUCAAUGGAUCGGUCAUGCCAAUCGGUGUGUACUGGUUUGAUUGGUUCUCACCUUCUAAGGAACCGUGAUGUCAUUAAUUUGGUGUCGCGGGGAAUUAGGACUGUUACCUUGAAAACAUUAGUGUGUUUAAAGCAAGCUCACGCUUGAAUACAUUAGCAUGGAAUAAUGUAAUAGGACAUUGUAUUCUAUUUUGUUGGUUUCUAGGAUCGAUGUAAUGAUUAAUAGGGAUAGUUGGGGGCAUUAGUAUUCAAUUGUCAGAGGUGAAAUUCUUGGAUUUAUUGAAGACUAACUACUGCGAAAGCAUUUGCCAAGGAUGUUUUCAUUAAUCAAGAACGAAAGUUAGGGGAUCGAAGACGAUCAGAUACCGUCGUAGUCUUAACCAUAAACUAUGCCGACUAGGGAUCGGAUGAUGUUAAUUUUAUAAUGACUCAUUCGGCACCUUACG
rnacentral:rRNA from 1 species